rnacentral:rRNA from 1 species
CGUGAGAUGUUGGGUUAAGUCCCGCAACGAGCGCAACCCUCAUCGCAUGUUGCCAGCGUAAAGUCGGGCACUCUUGCGAAACUGCCCGUGUAAGCGGGAGGAAGGUGGGGAUGACGUCAAGUCGGCAUGGCCCUUACGCCUGGGGCUACACACAUGCUACAAUGGCCGGUUACAAAGAGCCGCAAGACCGCGAGGUGGAGCAAAUCUCAAAAACCCGGCCUCAGUUCGGAUUGCAGUCUGCAACUCGACUGCA